GCCCGAGAAGUUUCUUUCCUCUAUUGUCGCCGAGGCUUCGGGGACGACGCUGCCUCGCGGACGCCCGCGUCGACUGGUGGGAGACCCGCGAAGCUAGCGUCUUCAAGGCCGAUCUCCCCGGCCGGCACAAGAGGGGCGUCAAGAUUGAUGUGGGACGGCGUCGAUCGCGAGGAGAAGGUCUCCGCUUAGAUUUCGCCCGACUCGCCUGAGCUCCG